rnacentral:rRNA from 1 species
GAGUUUGAUCUUGGCUCAGAUUGAACGCUGGCGGCAUGCCUUACACAUGCAAGUCGAACGGCAGCACGGGAGCUUGCUCCUGGUGGCGAGUGGCGAACGGGUGAGUAAUGCAUCGGAACGUAUCCUGGAGUGGGGGAUAACGUAGCGAAAGUUACGCUAAUACCGCAUAUUCUGUGAGCAGGAAAGCGGGGGACCUUCGGGCCUCGCGCUCUUGGAGCGGCCGAUGUCGGAUUAGCUAGUUGGUGAGGUAAAGGCUCACCAAGGCGACGAUCCGUAGCAGGUCUGAGAGGAUGAUCUGCCACACUGGAACUGAGACACGGUCCAGACUCCUACGGGAGGCAGCGGUGGGGAAUUUUGGACAAUGGGGGCAACCCUGAUCCAGCCAUGCCGCGUGAGUGAAGAAGGCCUUCGGUUGUAAGUACGUACUUUCGUCCGUAGGGAAGGAAAGUUAGUAC